UUCUGACUAACUAGUCCAAUACAAAAAAUCAAAAUAAAAUAAUAACCUUAAAUAACCUUAAUAAUUUUAAAUAAAACAUUCUUUCCCUAAGUAAAGGAGAUUGAAAAGGAAUUAGGAACAAUAAAACAAGUACCGCAAGGGAAUGUUGAAAUAGAGAUGAAAAAGACCAGUCAAGAUAAUAAAAGCAGAGAUUAAAUCUCGUACCUUUUGCAUCAUGAUUUAGCGAGCAUAACUAGGCAAGAAGAACCUUAGUCUAGACCCCCGAAACUAAGUGAGCUACUCCAAGACAGCAUAUAUUUAGUGCCCACCCGUCUCUGUCGCAAAAGAUGUGGGGAGAGCUUUGAGUAGAGGUGACAAGCCAAUCGAACUUAGUUAUAGCUGGUUUUCUGAGAAAAGAAUAUUAGUUCAGCCCCUAAAAUUCUCCAUUCACUCAACUUUUACUAACAAAAUAUCCAAGUAAAAAUAACGGGAUAAAAAGAAAUUUAGAGAGUUAGUCAUAGGGGGACCAGCUCCUACGACCUAAGAAACAACUUUCCUAACUAGGUAAAGACCAAGAUCAAGCAAAACUAACUAUUUUAGUGGGCCUAAAAGCAGCCACCUAUUGAGAAAGCGUUAAAGCUCAAAUAAGUUACUGCUAUAUAAUAAUGAAAAAUAAUUCUUAACCUGUUAUAAUUAUAUCAGAAUAUCUUAUACUUCUAUAAGAGAAACUAUGCUAAUAUUAGUAAUAAGAGAAUAGACCCUCUCCUAACACAAGUGUAACUCGAAAUGGACACACCACCGAAAAAUAACGACCCCAAAAUUAAAAUAGAGGGUAAAGAAAAUCCAAUAAAAAACUAGAAAACUUUUCUUACUUUAUCGUUAACCCUACACUGGAGUGUAAUUAUGGAAAGAUUAAUAGGAAAAGAAGGAAUUCAGCAAACCCAAGCUUCGCCUGUUUACCAAAAACAUCGCCUCUUGAUUAACUAAGAUAAGAGGUCAGGCCUGCCCAAUGAUAAUAAUUUAAUGGCCGCGGUAUUUUAACUGUGCUAAGGUAGCGUAAUCACUUGUCCUUUAAAUGAGGACCUGUAUGAAAGGUUUAACGAAAGCUUAACUGUCUCCUUUUCCCAAUCAAUGAAAUUGAUCUCCCCGUGCAAAAGCGGGGAUAAACAUAUAAGACGAGAAGACCCUGUGGAGCUUAAGAUGUCCUUAUACGCUAUGCCAAAAAAUAUAAAUAAAGACCAUAAAGCUUAUAGCCCCUGUAAAUCAUCUUCAGUUGGGGUGACUGUGGGGAAUAUAAAUCCCCCACGAAGACUAAGAGUACAAAAAAAAAUUACUCUUAAAAUCUAGAACCGCCUUUCAAAAUAAUAAUAUAUUUAACUUAAAUUGAUCCAACCCGUUGAUCAACGAACCAAGUUACCCCAGGGAUAACAGCGCAAUCCUCUUCCAGAGCUCCUAUCGGCAAGAGGGUUUACGACCUCGAUGUUGGACCAGGACAUCCUAAUGGUGCAGUCGCUAUUAAGGGUUCGUUUGUUCAACGAUUAAAGUCCUACGUGAUCUGAGUUCAGACCGGAGUAAUCCAGGUCAGUUUCUAUCUAUAACUUGUUCUCCUCUAGUACGAAAGGGCCGAGCAGAAAGGGCCUAUACUGUCAGCACGCCCUACUUUUAACUUAUGAAAUCAACUCAAACAACUAAAAAGCAUACUCAUAAACUAAAGAUAAUAGCA
rnacentral:rRNA from 1 species